rnacentral:rRNA from 1 species
CCUACGGGAGGCAGCAGUGGGGAAUAUUGGACAAUGGGCGAAAGCCUGAUCCAGCCAUGCCGCGUGUGUGAAGAAGGCCUUCGGGUUGUAAAGCACUUUCAGUGGGGAAGAAAGCCUUGGGGCUAAUACCCUCGAGGAAGGACAUCACCCACAGAAGAAGCACCGGCUAACUCCGUGCCAGCAGCCGCGGUAAUACGGAGGGUGCGAGCGUUAAUCGGAAUUACUGGGCGUAAAGCGCGCGUAGGCGGUCUGAUAAGCCGGUUGUGAAAGCCCCGGGCUCAACCUGGGAACGGCAUCCGGAACUGUCAGGCUAGAGUGCAGGAGAGGAAGGUAGAAUUCCCGGUGUAGCGGUGAAAGGCGUAGAGAUCGGGAGGAAUACCAGUGGCGAAGGCGGCCUUCUGGACUGACACUGACGCUGAGGUGCGAAAGCGUGGGUAGCAAACAGGAUUAGAUACCGUGUAGUC